rnacentral:rRNA from 1 species
UGAGGAAUAUUGGUCAAUGGACGCAAGUCUGAACCAGCCAAGUAGCGUGCAGGAUGACGGCCCUAUGGGUUGUAAACUGCUUUUAUAUGGGGAUAAAGUGGGGAACGUGUUCCCUUUUGCAGGUACCAUAUGAAUAAGGACCGGCUAAUUCCGUGCCAGCAGCCGCGGUAAUACGGAAGGUUCGGGCGUUAUCCGGAUUUAUUGGGUUUAAAGGGAGCGUAGGCCGUUUGGUAAGCGUGUUGUGAAAUGUAGGAGCUCAACUUCUAGAUUGCAGCGCGAACUGUCAGACUUGAGUGCGCACAACGUAGGCGGAAUUCAUGGUGUAGCGGUGAAAUGCUUAGAUAUCAUGAAGAACUCCGAUUGCGAAGGCAGCUUACGGGAGCGCAACUGACGCUGAAGUGCGAAAGCUAGGGGAGCAAACAGG